UACGAAGGGGGCUAGCGUUGCUCGGAAUCACUGGGCGUAAAGGGUGCGUAGGCGGGUCUUUAAGUCAGGGGUGAAAUCCUGGAGCUCAACUCCAGAACUGCCUUUGAUACUGAAGAUCUUGAGUUCGGGAGAGGUGAGUGGAACUGCGAGUGUAGAGGUGAAAUUCGUAGAUAUUCGCAAGAACACCAGUGGCGAAGGCGGACUCACUGGCCCGAUACUGACGCUGAGGC
rnacentral:rRNA from 1 species